rnacentral:rRNA from 1 species
CCUACGGGGGACAGCAGUGAGGAAUAUUGGUCAAUGGGCGGGAUACUGAACCAGCCAAGCCGCGUGAGGGAGGAAGGUACAAUGGGUUGUAAACCUCUUUUGUCGGAGAACAAAACCCGGGACGUGUCCCCGACUGCGUGUAUCCGAAGAAAAAGCAUCGGCUAACUCCGUGCCAGCAGCCGCGGUAAUACGGAGGAUGCGAGCGUUAUCCGGAUUUAUUGGGUUUAAAGGGUGCGUAGGCGGUCCGUUAAGUCAGCGGUAAAAUUGCGGGGCUCAACCCCGUCGCGCCGUUGAAACUGGCAGACUUGAGUUGGCGAGAAGUACGCGGAAUGCGCGGUGUAGCGGUGAAAUGCAUAGAUAUCGCGCAGAACUCCGAUUGCGAAGGCAGCGUACCGGCUCCAGACUGACGCUGAGGCACGAAAGCGUGGGUAUCGAACAGGAUUAGAUACCCGAGUAGUC